AUACGGAGGAUCCGAGCGUUAUCCGGAUUUAUUGGGUUUAAAGGGAGCGUAGGCGGACUAUUAAGUCAGCUGUGAAAGUUUGCGGCUCAACCGUAAAAUUGCAGUUGAUACUGGUCGUCUUGAGUGCAGUAGAGGUAGGCGGAAUUCGUGGUGUAGCGGUGAAAUGCUUAGAUAUCACGAAGAACUCCGAUUGCGAAGGCAGCUUACUGGACUGUAACUGACGCUGAUGCUCGAAAGUGUGGGUAUCAAACAGGAUUAGAUACCCUGUAGUCCACACAGUAAACGAUGAAUACUCGCUGUUUGCGAUAUACGGCAAGCGGCCAAGCGAAAGCAUUAAGUAUUCCACCUGGGGAGUACGCCGGCAACGGUGAAACUCAAAGGAAUUGACGGGG
rnacentral:rRNA from 1 species